rnacentral:rRNA from 1 species
AUGGGGCCUGGACUGUUGAUUCAUUUGCCAUGGCAUGCUCGGCUUGCCUUGGAGAGGUUUGUUUUAUCUGACCAAAAUGUAGCCCCAUCACCGAAGCCUCAAUAUUUUGAGGUGCUUCUUCACAGGAUUCUACAGACAGACAGCAAAGAUAUUAUUGAAGCUAUC